rnacentral:rRNA from 1 species
UUCCGGUUGAUCCUGCCGGACCCGACUGCUAUCGGAGCGGGACUAAGCCAUGCGAGUCGUACGUCCCUUGACUGCAAGGGGCGUGGCGAACGGCUCAGUAACACGUAGCUAACCUACCCUAGAGACGUGGAUAACCCCGGGAAACUGGGAUUAAUCCACGAUAGAUCAAAGCUUCUGGAAUGGGCUUUGAUCGAAAGGGGUGGGCAAGCAUGUUUUGCCCAUCUGCUCUAGGAUGGGGCUGCGGCCGAUCAGGUUGUUGGUGGGGUAAUGGCCCACCAAGCCUAUAACCGGUACGGGCUUUGAGAGAAGGAGCCCGGAGAUGGACACUGAGACAAGGGUCCAGGCCCUACGGGGCGCAGCAGGCGCGAAACCUUCGCAAUGCGCAAAAGCGCGACGAGGUCACUCCGAGUGCCACUCGCUGAGGGUGGCUUUUCCUAAGUCUAAAAAGCUUAGGGAAUAAGGGGAGGGUAAGUCUGGUGUCAGCCGCCGCGGUAAUACCAGCUCCCCGAGUGGUCGGGACGUUUAUUGGGCCUAAAGCAUCCGUAGCCGGUCCUGCAGGUCUCCUGUUAAAUCCAACAGCCCAACUGUUGGACUGCAGGAGAUACCACAGGACUAGGAGGCGGGAGAGGCGGACGGUACUCCAUGGGUAGGGGUAAAAUCCUUUGAUCCAUGGAAGACCACCAGUGGCGAAGGCGGUCCGCCAGAACGCGCUCGACGGUGAGGGAUGAAAGCUGGGGGAGCGAACCGGAUUAGAUACCCGGGUAGUCCCAGCUGUAAACGAUGCGAGCUAGGUGAUGGGGUGGCUGCGUGCCAUCCCAGUGCCGCAGGGAAGCCGUUAAGCUCGCCGCCUGGGGAGUACGGCCGCAAGGCUGAAACUU